AAUCUUUUAAUUAAGAAAAAAAGUGGUAAUUAUUUAUAAGUUAUUAGUCUUUAAUUUAAAUACGAUCCUUUUUACCACUUUUGCGUAGUAAUCUAAACAUGAUAAGAUUGCAUCCAUUAAUGAAAACAGCCUUUGAAAACCGAAGCGUGAAAAUUUGUCAACAAACCCACGUGGAAUGAAACAAAAGAGCUAAUUGGAAGUGAUAAGCCUUUUCUUCGACAUAUACAAGUAUUUGUUCAACGGAAUCGUGAAAAUCUGUCAACAAACCCACGUGAAGUACAACAAAGAGCUAUUCCUUUCCUUCGACAUUUACAAGAUGACUGCAAAGAAACUAGAUGACUUUAUCCUACAAGAGGGAUCAACAACAGCCUUACCUUUAUCCCCAAGGAGGAAAAGGGAGGCCAUUAAGAUUGGUGAAUAUGUGGAAACUUCACCUUCUGCCGCUUCUGAAUGACAGAAGGAAACAAAACCCACCACAACAUAUGAAGGUAUGACACAGUCAUAACUGUUAAAGUUGGACUGACAGAUGUGCAAGAAAUCUUAUUCUGCAAGAUGAUGGUCAUGGUAUGAUUGUGCCCCAAUGGACGGAAAGGGAAAGAAGGAUCAUUAAGAUUGGUGAAUUUGUGAAAAUAACACACCUUGUCCCUUCUUAUCAGAAUGGCAGAAGAAGAUAUACCUAGAAACAUUAUUCUGAAGGAAAAAUUACUGGAAGAGGCAGUAGUCUGGGCAUGAUGGACUUUUGUAGUACCUUUGGAGCCAUCUUGAAAUGCUUAAUAAACUUUGAAUUAAUUCUUGUUUUAAUUGCUACUAAUAAUGCAAAAAAAUUGUACAAAUCAGUGAAAUAGUCAACAAACAUAUAUUGUUAAUGCAUUUAUAAUUGCAUAAGUACAAAAAUGUGCAUGUUAAUAUUUUCAUAAAUAUGUCUUCCUUUGACAUCAACUUGCAAUUUUUUUUCAUAUUCUGUUCUCUCCUCAGUUAAAUUUAAAGAAAGAUGUUCUGCAAUAUGUUCAUGCAAAUCAUAUUUUUGCUGUCUUAGUACAAUUGUGAAAUCUACAUAUUUUAUAAUUUGAAAUCUUGUCUUUUACAAUGAGAUGGAAGAUUUCAGUUUCAACAUUCAGUUUUUGAAAUUUUUGUUUAUCAUAUUUGUCCAAGUUGGACAUAAUUUACUGUUUAUUGAUUUCUACUACAGCACACAUUUGAACGUAGUUUCCUUUACUUCGAUUUUAGAAACAUAGUGAAAUUUUUCUGUUGGUUUGCUGUUAUGUUUCCACAUUUUUUUCAUUUACUUCAUGUAUAAUUAGAAACUUGUUAUCACUCAUAAGCAUUCUGUACAUAUGUUAAACAAGUUGUGCAACAUGUUGUUAAUUGUAAUAUACAAAACCAACACAAUAAUACAUGUAAUAAAUACAUUAUACCACAAGCUCUGCUUAACAUUGUGCAGCUUUAUCAGUUACAGUUAUGAUUUGUUACACCAGAUUGUGUUUUGUAUUUUCUGAAUUAUUAAGGACCUAUACAAUUUACCUUACCAACUGAUAAUUUUUCUUAAUUAAGAUUACAGUGUCAUCAGAAAUUCAAAAUAUUAGUAACUCAUUGCAAGAGAGUUUGAAAAACAUGUCCAUUUACUUAAAAGAAAAUAUACAAAUAUUACCGAACAAAGUUGAUUUCAUUAUUACUGUUUACUUGUUUCAAAACAUGUACAAAAGUAUUCAUAGACAAUAAAAUUUAGCACACGUUCCUUCUUGUAUUGGACCUCUCUAUCCCACGGGAAAAUGCAAUUAAGUUCAAACUAUGUUGCAUAUGUCUAUAAAUAAAAGAUAGUCCCUUUUU